rnacentral:rRNA from 1 species
GACGAACGCUGGCGGCGUGCCUAAUACAUGCAAGUCGAACGAGAGCGACCGGUGCUUGCACUGGUAAAUCUAGCGGCGAACGGGUGAGUAACAAGUGGGUAACCUGCCCAUCAGAGGGGGAUAACAUUCGGAAACGGAUGAUAAAAACACAUAGGUCUUCGAACCGCGUGGUUUGAAGAGGAAAAGAGGCGCAAGCUUCUGCUGAUGGAUGGACCCGCGGUGCAUUAGCUAGUUGGUGAGGUGACGGCUCACCAAGGCCGUGAUGCAUAGCCGACCUGAGAGGGUGAUCGGCCACAUUGGAACUGAGACACGGCCCAAACUCCUACGGGAGGCAGCAGUAGGGAAUCUUCCGCAAUGGACGCAAGUCUGACGGAGCAACGCCGCGUGAGUGAAGAAGGUUUUCGGAUCGUAAAACUCUGUUGUUAGGGAAGAAUAAGUGCUAGAGUAACUGUUAGCGCCUUGACGGUAUCUAACCAGAAAGCCACGGCUAACUACGUG